UACGUAGGGGGCAAGCGUUGUCCGGAAUUAUUGGGCGUAAAGAGUGUGUAGGCGGCUUGGUAAGUCCGCUCUGAAAGCCAGGGGCUCAACCCCUGGAGGCGGGUGGAUACUGUCAAGCUUGAGUCUGGAAGAGGCGAGUGGAAUUCCCGGUGUAGCGGUGAAAUGCGCAGAUAUCGGGAGGAACACCAAUGGCGAAGGCAGCUCGCUGGGACAUGACUGACGCUGAGACACGAAAGCGUGGGGAGCAAACAGG
rnacentral:rRNA from 1 species